rnacentral:rRNA from 1 species
UACGGAGGGGGCUAGCGUUGUUCGGAAUUACUGGGCGUAAAGCGCACGUAGGCGGCUUUGUAAGUUAGAGGUGAAAGCCCAGGGCUCAACCCUGGAAUUGCCUUUAAGACUGCAUCGCUUGAACAUCGGAGAGGUAAGUGGAAUUCCGAGUGUAGAGGUGAAAUGCGCAGAUAUCAGGAGGAACACCGAGGCGAAGGCAGGUCUCUGGGCCACUACUGACGCUGAGAAGGCGAAAAGCAUGGGGGAGCCGA